rnacentral:rRNA from 1 species
AGAGUUUGAUCCUGGCUCAGGAUGAACGCUGGCGGCGUGCCUAAUACAUGCAAGUCGAUCGGAAUGUAGUAAUACAUUAAGAGGCGAACGGGUGAGUAACACGUAGGUAAUCUGCCCCAAGGACUGGGAUACCCAAGCGAAAGUUUGGCUAAUACCGGAUAUGAGGAAACUUGAAAGCAGCGAUUGCUGCACCAUGGGAUGAGCCUGCGGCGCAUUAGCUAGUUGGUGAGGUAAGAGCCCACCAAGGCAAUGAUGCGUAGCCGACCUGAGAGGGUGAACGGCCACAUUGGAACUGAGACACGGUCCAGACUCCUACGGGAGGCAGCAGUAGGGAGUAUUCGGCAAUGGAGGAAACUCUGACCGAGCAACGCCGCGUGAAUGACGAAGGUCUUCGGAUUGUAAAAUUCUGUUAUAUGGGAAGAAAGAUAAGAUAAGGAAAUGUAUUUUAUUUGACCGUACCAUAUGAGAAAGCCACGGCUAACUACGUGCCAGCAGCCGCGGUAAUACGUAGGUGGCAAGCGUUAUCCGGAAUUAUUGGGCGUAAAGAGAGAGCAGGCGGUUAUUCAAGUCUGAAGUGAAAAGCAGUGGCUUAACCAUUGUAGGCUUUGGAAACUAGAUAGCUAGAGUGCAAGAGAGGUUAGCGGAACUCCAUGUGUAGCGGUGAAAUGCGUAGAUAUAUGGAAGAACACCAGUGGCGAAGGCGGCUAACUAGCUUGAAACUGACGCUCAGUCUCGAAAGCGUGGGUAGCAAAUAGGAUUAGAUACCCUAGUAGUCCACGCUGUAAACGAUGAGUACUAGGUGUUGGGGAAACUCAGCGCCGAAGUUAACACAAUAAGUACUCCGCCUGGGUAGUACGUUCGCAAGAAUGAAACUUAAAGGAAUUGACGGGGGCCCGCACAAGCAGUGGAGCAUGUGGUUUAAUUCGACGCUACGCGAAGAACCUUACCAGGACUUGACAUCUGAUUAAAGGCUCUAGAGAUAGAGAGAUAGUUAUAGUCAAGACAGGUGGUGCAUGGUUGUCGUCAGCUCGUGUCGUGAGAUGUUGGGUUAAGUCCCGCAACGAGCGCAACCCUCGUCCUUAGUUGCCAGCAGUAAGAUGGGAACUCUAAGGAGACCGCCGGUGAUAAGCCGGAGGAAGAUGGGGAUGACGUCAAAUCAUCAUGCCCUUUAUGUCCUGGG